GGGGGCCCCCUCCCAAGCCUUGCUCUGCAGCCGAGUCCUGAGCUUCUUGAGGCUGGAGCCGGGCGGGAACCGGGCGCCGGCCCACUUCUGUCCAUCCACGUGUCCAACGGGAGUGGGGGUUCCACAACGGGAAUUGGGGGGGGUCUUACUCGGACAGGGCCACGCAGGAGUCUGAGCUGGGGUGUCUUGAGUGUGUGUCCUCUGUGGGUUACAGGUGCCUGUGGUUCCUUCUGCAGGUGAGAGCGAGCCCCCACCGAUCGCCGUGGCGGGCGGAACCAGAAAGCAGGUGUCUUCUCUUCGCUUUGGGACGCUCCAUCCCUAUGUGCACCGCAGAGGCCCGUGAGGGAGGACGGGCGGAGCGUGUCGGAUGAGGAUGGACGUUCCGCUGGACAGGAUGAGGGCAGCGGGCCUGGCCUCGCCACCCCAAGGUGCUGCUCCACGUUCAAAGCAGCUUCUUCCUCCUUGACUGAUGGCCGGUGCAGACCUUCGCUCUCUUCCCCUGAUGCUCACACGCGCCCCGAGGCAGGGGACCCUGAGCCUGAGCAGCUUCCUCCAAUGGCUACGGACUUGCUGACGUUCCUGCGUCUUAUAUUGUCUUGUCACAUGCCGGGGGCGUCUCAAGACAAGGUCGGCCCCGAAGGACUGCCUCACGACAUGGUAUGUGAGUGCAUGCACUUCACCACAGCCCGG
rnacentral:lncRNA from 1 species